AGUGAACGCUGGCGGUAGGCCUAACACAUGCAAGUCGAACGGCAGCACAGUAAGAGCUUGCUCUUACGGGUGGCGAGUGGCGGACGGGUGAGGAAUACAUCGGAAUCUACUUUUUCGUGGGGGAUAACGUAGGGAAACUUACGCUAAUACCGCAUACGACCUACGGGUGAAAGCAGGGGAUCUUCGGACCUUGCGCGAUUGAAUGAGCCGAUGUCGGAUUAGCUAGUUGGCGGGGUAAAGGCCCACCAAGGCGACGAUCCGUAGCUGGUCUGAGAGGAUGAUCAGCCACACUGGAACUGAGACGCGGUCCAGACUCCUACGGGAGGCAGCAGUGGGGAAUAUUGGACAAUGGGCGCAAGCCUGAUCCAGCCAUACCGCGUGGGUGAAGAAGGCCUUCAGGUUGUAAAGCCCUUUUGUUGGGAAAGAAAAGCAGCAGGUUAAUACCCCGCUGUUCUGACGGUACCCAAAGAAUAAGCACCGGCUAACUUCGUG
rnacentral:rRNA from 1 species